CAGCUCUCCAAGUUCAUCCACGCCACUAUUUGGUUUAUGUCGCUCUGCGCCCUUCUGUUGACACAAUCCAAAAGAGUAGCGCAGUGAUCCAAUGACAACAAUGGGCCUCGGCCCAGGUCCUACGUCGGAGAAGCCCAUCAGCAUAGAGGCCACCAGCACCACCUCGCCCGGCGCGGCAGCAUUUGCUUCUUCCCGGAUAGGAUCGCGAAGUGGUGUUGUGAG